AAUUAGACCAUAAUAAUGUUAAGCAAGCUUUAAUCAAAUUCAAAGAAACCUCAAAGAAAUUUCAAAGAAAUAAUAAAAAAUCUUAAAAAAUUAUUAGAAUCAUCACAAAUAUAUCUCAAAUACAUCUCAAUUCAAUCUUAAUUUAAUCCUAGUUAAAAUCCUAUUAGACUUCAUUCAAACUUUAGGCCAAAACUAAUUAAAUCUUAAACCCUAAACAAAUCCUAAUAAAAUCCUAAAUCCUAAAUCAAACCCUAAAUCCUAAAUCCAAAACUAAAUCCUAACCAAAUCCUAAACCAAAUUCUAUCCAAACCCUAAACCAAACCCUAACCAAACCCUAAACAAAUCUUAAACUAAAUCCCAAUCAAAUUCUAAAUCCUAAAUCAAACCCUAAUCAAAUCCUAAAUCCUAAAUAAAACCCUAAUCAAACUCUAAAUCCUAAACCAAAUCUUAACAAAAUCCUAAACAAACCUUAAACCUAAUCCCAACCAAAUCCUAAAUCAAAUCCUAAACCCUAAACCAAACCCUAACCAAAUCCUAAACAAAUCCUAGUAGUUUUUAUAACUGAAUUAAACCUCAAUAACUAAUGAAUAAAUCAUCGAUCUUAACUCAAAUUUUGCACAAUUCUUAAAAAAUAAGUUGAAAACAAGCACAAAAAGUUUUAAAAGGAUCGAAAUUAUCAAAUAGACGAUAACCUCAAAAAUGUGCUUGGGUAUUGGCCGGCCUCCUUCUCCAACCUUGAUGCUAAUCUUCCAGAGCCAAUAUCUUUUCUUUUCACCAUUCGAUUGAUCUCAAAAUUCUCAUAUACAUAGAAAAAUAAGUCUAUUAUCCUCUAAUACAAAUUUCACUCUAAUC
rnacentral:lncRNA from 1 species